GGGUCUUGUACACACUGCCCGUCACACCACGAAAGUUCUUUGUGCCUGAAGUUGUUUGUUCGACCGCUUGCGGAGAACGGCACCUAGGGUGUGGGGAAUGAUUGGGGUUAAGUCGUAACAAGGUAGCUGUACCGGAAGGUGCGGCUGGAUCACCUCCUU
rnacentral:rRNA from 1 species